GCUCGCCCAGCUGCCCAGCACCGUGCCCAGCCGCCGCGGCGCCUCGCCCACCACUCUCUCUCCCUCUCCCCCCUAUUCCCCCACGACGUCGUGACUACCUCCACUACGAUCCUUCCCCUGCUUAUGGAGAUGACAGUUCCAAGCAUACUCCAACAUCUCUCUCCCUACACGCACAACUAGCCAUGGCCGCGCGGCCACUGCAACCCGUGCGAGCACACCCUGCGAUGCACGAGUGUUGCUCUGCACAACCGCUCGACGGUCGUCCCCCAGAGCUUCCCCAUGAUGCGCGUCGUGAAGCCCCUCGACGAAGACCCUAGGAACACCUGCAGGGGUCGGCCAUCGUGCACAGGUGAGAACCCACUCCUCUCUCUCCCUCGUCCCGCCGGCGUCGUCCCUCCGCUCGCGUGCCCUUUCUCGGCGCGAGCGCGUCCCUGCGCAGCGGAGCUGGGUGGCCGUGCUCCAGCCCCUCCUCCCCUCACCUAGCCCUGAGCGCGGUAGCCUCUUGCAGGCCCCCUCGCGCGGCGCCACCGCCGCGCAGUGCCCAUGCCCCUCGCGGCCAGUCCACAGCGGUGCCCCGGCCAACCCCCUGGCCAGCAGCGGCGUAGCGCCCAUCCCAACAGCGAGCAACCGCCAGCCAUGCACGCCGACUUCUUGCUGCCAUUACCCCGCCCCGCGUGACGUCCAACUCCAGCCGGUGUUGCGUCGCCUUGCCGCAUGAUGCGCGUGCCGUCGUGCUCGUGAAGAAAAGCAAACCGUCCGUGUGACCGUGUGCGAGUAUGUAGGCUAGGAGAAAAGAACGGACGUUGGGCCUCACAAACAUGCAUGUGCAGGCAGCGUUCCUCCAUGAUUUUCCUGCAUGCGUACAGAUUCUAGAGCCAAAACGAAAUUGCCGAUCCCUUGGAUAUCGUAUUUCCCUCCCCAGCCAGGCUGCAUGCCAGAGAAAUAAUCCUUAAGGAUUCUCUGUGCCCCAAAUUUGUGGCCCUAGGUGUGGCUUGUUUCGACCAAUAAAAAUGUGCCACGUCGUUAUUAAUCUGCGAUUAGUUAAAAAUAUAUUAACUUUUGCGUUAGACAUCUGAAUUAAUAUGUUUCUAUUGAGUUAGCUUCGUAAUAAUAUCAUGCACACAUUAAACAUAUUAUCUUGUCAUAACGUAUGUUUGUUUUACUUAAUUGUAAGUUGGUCUGUUGGUUAUUAACAUAGCAAUUUAGUUAAAACUAUUUUAUGGUUUUAAGUUACGCUUUUAUAAAUAUAUGUUAAAAUGAUUAAUACCAACUCAAAUAAGUACUAAUUUAAUUAUUACCAACUUAAACGUUUGGAUUCGAUACUGGUUUAGUAUAAAUAUGUCAUCUAUUUAGUUUUUCUCGCCUGUCGCGCGUGCGGUUCCGCACUCGGUGGCGUGCUGUUUCGCGCAUCGUUCUCUCUAGUCGCGCGUACUGUCUCGUGCGUUGUUUUGCGCAGUGUCGCGCGUCCUCACACGUCAUUCUCGUGUGCCGCACAUGCCAUUUUUCGCGUGCGUCGCGCAUGCCCUUUUCGCGUCGCGCACCUUGUCGUGCGUCGCCACGCGUCAUUUGCGCAUGACGCACGCGUCGUUUUUGCGUGUAGUGCACAUUGCCGCACGUUGUUCACGCAUGUCACGCGUGUCCGUGCGUCGUUCGCACGCUGUCGUGCUGUUUCGCGCGUCGUAAAUUUGCCUCACUUAGAUUCUCUCGUUUUAAUUAAAUUAUUUACUUAACUGACAUUGGUUAGUGUAGCAGAUUAAUCAAGCUAAAUGAUAGAUAUUAUUUAUAUUUGAUAACGUCGAAUUAAAUACUAUAGUUAAUACUUGUUUAGCGUAAACGCGCUAACCCCUCGACCGUAGCUCUUACUUUCGUGUUUCUUAUCCUCGCAUAACUGUAGGAGCGCUCUCUAUUUUAUAUUGCUCGCUUUUAUAACAUUUUAUCUUGUAUGGUGUAAUGUUCUUAUGCAUAUGUAUAUAUUUGUUUGCUUGUGCCUGUUCAUCUUCGCUUCGCGUUGCGAUUAGAUCGUGAUUCGUUUCUGAGCUUCGAGGAAUCGACGGUCAAGCUUCAACGACCAAAUGACCUAGUUCUUCGAGUUCCUCGAGAUUGAAGACCCUGAACAUAUGUUUGGUGAAGGCAAGUGUCCCUUGACCUAUCUCUGUCCUAUACAUUCUUUAAUUCACCUCCCGCAUUACACAGUUAUACCUAAGGAUUUACUAGCUUUUGUUAUCCAUGUCCUUGUUUACCUAUCUGGGUUGGAUUAUUAUUGUUUAGCUUUAUGCUAUUGCUCAGCUCUAAUCAAUGAACAUGAUGAGAUUUAUCAAUGAUACGUUGUUUCCCCCCCUUUAUUAUGAUGUUAUACUUGUGACCUUCAAGGGGGCUCGAGCGGUUUCUCGAGUGCCUCUCCGUAAGGACCUGUUCGUUGGAUGACCGCCCAGAAAAACAGUGCAACCAUGAGGGUGGAAUGGGAUGCCCUUAGCUAAAUAAUUAGAGGAACCGGGGUGUAGCUCGCUUAGCCAUCGUGCCGUCAAUGGGGCUCAGUGUAUGCGGCUCGCUCUGCCAAGUUUGGGUUCGCCCCUUGGGGAGGAGUGCGGUGCAUUUAGGAAACCUAACGGGUGGCUACAGCUCCGGGGAAUCUUUGUAAAGGCUACGUAGUGAUGCCCUGCUGGGUCACCUUGGUAGUGAUCAAUGGAGAGUCAUGAUCUCUGGGCAGAAAGGGAAUCACGACUUGUGGGUAAAGUGCACAACCUCUGCAGAGCGUUUGAAAACUGAUAUAUCAGCCGUGCUCACGGUUAUGAGCGGCCAAGGGAGCUCCAGUGAUUAGUGGUACUUGAUCAGAGAUGUUCGGAUUGCAGGUGGCAAUGAGAUUGAUGGUUCUUGGUAUUGACACUGGUAAUGGUAAGUGGUACUCUUUCCAUUUGGAAAGGAGUACGUUUGGGUUAAUAACGUGGGUUAAAUCUAAAACUUGGCUUUCUCUACUAGUAAUAAUAAUCUGACCAACUAAAAGCAACUGCUUGACUUACCCCCACAUAAAAGCUAGUCCACUACAGCCAAACAGGAUACUUGCUGAGUAUGUUGAUGUGUACUCACCCUUGCUCUACACACCAAACCCCCCCCAUCCCCAGGUUGUCAGCAUUGCAACCACUGCUCAGGAGAAGAUGAAGUCGUGGAAGGAGACUUUCAGGAGUUCCAAGACUACGACGAGUUCUAGGCGUGGGUUAGCGGCAACCCCCAGUCGGCUGCCUGUGAAGGCCGCGUUUAUCUACGUUUCGUUUUCGCACUUUGAUUAUUUGUAAAGACUAUGUGGAUGUCUCAGACUUAUGAUGUAAUCGACUAUUAUUCCCUUUUUAGUACUAUUUGAGCACUGUGUGAUGAUGUCCAUGUUAUGUAACUGCUGUGUACGUGAAUUGCUGAUCCUGGCACGUACAUGGUUCGCAUUCGGUUUGCCUUCUAAAACCGGGUGUGACAUAAGUGGUAUCAAAGCCGUGCUGACUGUAGGACCGCUGACCUAGAGUAGCAUUGGCCGUUUUAAGGACUUCUUGACUGUUACUUCACCUCAUCCUUGAUUCUGCUUCAAAUUUUAGUCAUCUCGACUAAUUCUAUGUUGUGCUCCUAUAUGCCCCCUUGUCAAAAAGUAUUUUAUUCUAGCAUGGUCUAUACUUCUCUCAGUCUAUUAGAACUUACCUCACUCUUGUGCUUGCGACAUCUUUGUAGAUGCCCCCUGACCAUAGCCUUUAGUCUUUUGGGACUCUUUCCUCGUCCAUUUUUAAAUUGCUACCAUUUGACCAUCUCUAUUCCAUUUUGUUAUUGACAUGCUCGUACCCUUGCAUUUUUUUAAUACCCUUAUCCCUUAAUCUAAAAUACUUACCCUUGUACCUCUAUUGCCUAUUUAAAUAGUUCAGUUUAUGUGUCCAUGACCUUCUUGUCUUCUGAGAUCAUUUCUUAUUCUGUUGUUAAGUCGCUAUCUCUCGGUAAUUUCUGUGCCCUUGGUCUUAGUAUGCUCGUAUCCUUGGAAUCUUGCAUACUCUUAUAUUCUUAUGUAUGCUUAUUUUCAUACCCCAAUAACCGUUCAAGACAUUUCAGUUAACAUGUCCUUGACCACCCCUGUUUCUUAACAGUCCAUGAGCGAUCAUUUCAUGUCGCCCAUCCUUGGUGAUCUCGUUGUUCCUUUAUAACUUCUCUCGAUAAUGAGUUCUUACGUCAACCAUAAUAUUGCACCCUCACCUAUCUUACUGUUGAUUGUUUUCUCCACUUCGCCACUACGUGAGUCUUCCCUUAACUCUAUCAUUUGUCAUGACUUUUGUUAUUAUCACCUUCACCUUAGACAUCUCUAUAUCUUACUUGAGGUUUAUCUUAUACCGGCAUUUAAAAUCUUCUCCUUUUUCCAUCUCAAUUUGAGCAUCGUACUUUACCUACUUUUCCCUUGGUCGUAUCCUCUUCUUUGUCACCUGCGAGUUGUUAACUCUAUCCUUCGUUGUGUUUUUGAUUGUUAUUUCCUUUACCCUUCUCAUCACUCUGUCCUGCCUUGUGAUUACAUUAUGUUUGUUAUCUAAAAUCUCCAAUCUCUUAUCCUAAGUUGAGAGCAGUGUUUUACUUAUCUCACCCUUGGUAAUAUCCUCUUCUUCACCGUGUGUAAGCCUUAACAUAACUUCAUUCUUUGUUGUACUUAUACCACUAGCUCUUCAAUGCCUUCGUUUUUUUCAUGCCCUUGUAUGUUGUCGCCUCUGACCCUUGUGAUAUUUAUGUCUUCUACCUAAAUUCUUACCUUAAACUUAUCCUUUAAAAGCCUUCCCUUUCUUUCAACUCGGUUUGAGAGUUGCGGGUUACCUAUCUCUCUCUUGAUUUCUUUUCACUUCUUGUCGCCUUACAAGUUUUGUCUUAAUUCCAUCCGUUGAUGUGUUUUAUUUGCUAUCACCAUCACCUUGUCAUCCAUCCAUCUUGCGUUGACACUCAUCUUUAUUCUGGAUCCUUAAAAAUCUCCUCUCUUCCACCUCCAUUAGAUAGUGGCUGCUUAUCUAUCUGGCCCUUGGACGUACCCUCUCCUUUUCCAUUUGCAGGUCCUAUCUUAACUCCAUCAUUUAUGGUACUAAUAUCUUUUGUCUUAUGCUUAUUUACCUCCUCUCCUACAUCUUUGUCCGUUAUUACCUUCAAAACCCUUGUGAUAUCUAUGUCCUUACCCUCCUACCUAUCUCGAACAUAUCCUUUGAAGCCUCCUCUUUUCCAUCCGUGUUUGAGGAUAAUGCCUCACCUAUUCAUCAUUGACUGCUCCCCCUUCUCGACACCUUGCAAGUUUUGUCUAAAAUAAAUUUUUGGUUGGGUGUUUGUCCGUUAUCACCUUAACCCUCGUCAUCCCUUGAUCUUUACCUUGAUGCUUAUCCCGUCCCUGCAUUUUAAAGUCCCUCCCUCGUUCCAGUUCAAGAGUGUUGUCUUACCUACCUGCUCUUGGUCAUUCCCUUUUCCUCUACAGCGUUGCCAGUCAUAGCGUUUGUUUGAUAUACCCCUUACCCUUGUAAUCACUAGAUUUUGACUUGAUACCUAUCUAAGGUCUGCUUUUGGAAAUCUCCCCUUUUCUAUCUCAACCCGGGAGUGUUGUUCUACCCAUUAUGCCCUUGGUCGUAUCCUUUCGUUGAUCGCUUACAAUGCUUGCUUUAACUCCAUUCUUUAUGGUGCUCGUGUCCCUAUCCUACACGUCUUGUUCUUCUCCUUGUCCUUCAACAACCUUAGAGAGUAGUUAUUCCCUUUUCAUGAAAGACCACCAUUUAAUUAGAAGGAACAUGUAGCAACAAAAUGUUUGUUGUUGUAUGCUUGUGCUAUUUGUCUUUGUGUGAUGACUGAUUUGCUUCUUUGGAAUGAGUGUUGAUGUGUUGUGGCCCUUAAUCCGCAAUGACAUCAGUUUACUAGGUGAAUGCCAUAGAGUUAAGUAGUUGGGUUCUCCCCCUGCUCUCUCUAAUCCGUCUAUACUUACCUUUUCUCGCUACCCUUUCCUCUUGCACCUGUCCAUUUGGCAACCUCCAACUCCUCCAAAUCAGUCAAGAUCAGAGUCGGCAGCAUCUUCACCAAGUGCAUAUCGACGCUCCUGUUAAGGGGGUUAGCCGCUAACUCAAUGAAGACAAUGUGAUCAACAUCAACAAACAAGAUCAAAGUGAAGCAGCGGAAGCGUGUGUGGGUCCUAACCCACAAGUCCAAGGGAUCCUCAAGAAUUAUAUCGUCAAUCAACCUCGAGCAUCUGAAGGUCAAAGCAACCAGUCCGCAAGUUAAAGUUUCAAGAGUCAAAGUUGAGUCAGGAGAAGCUAUGAAAGACCAAUGAACCAAUCUCAUUUUCUUGCUAGCUUCUUCUUGAAUCUCGAGGGCGAGAUUCCUGUUAAGGGGGUUAGAUCUGUAACACCUGGAAUUUGGGGGUAUAAAAUUUCUUUCCUAAUACCCACCAAAUUCAGGUGUUACCCUAGCGAAACAAAACCUAGAAAGGGGGUCCUUGAUUGUUGCAUAGCAUGUCGAGGCAUGUUUUUUUCCUUUGUGAUGGUGCAUUUAUUCAAACUUAGAAAGUAUGUUUGAAUUUGAAUUCAAAACUAAAACAUGUUUUCAAAAAGAACAAAAGGAAGAAAAAAUAAAUAAAUAAAAGGAAAAACUCCCUCAUCCCCUCCUCUCUCUCGGCGGCCCAACCCCCCAGCCCAACCCAGCUCGGCUUUUUCCGGCCGGCCCACGCCGCGAGCACCCCAGCCAGCCUCACGCGCCCCGCGCCCCAAAACCCUAGCGCCGCCUCCUGCGCGCGCUCGCCCAGCUGCCCAGCACCGUGCCCAGCCGCCGCGGCGCCUCGCCCACCACUCUCUCUCUCCCUCUCCCCCCUAUUCCCCCACGACGUCGUGACUACCUCCACUACGAUCCUUCCCCUGCUUAUGGAGAUGACAGUUCCAAGCAUACUCCAACAUCUCUCUCCCUACACGCACAACUAGCCAUGGCCGCGCGGCCACUGCAACCCGUGCGAGCACACCCUGCGAUGCACGAGUGUUGCUCUGCACAACCGCUCGACGGUCGUCCCCCAGAGCUUCCCCAUGAUGCGCGUCGUGAAGCCCCUCGACGAAGACCCUAGGAACACCUGCAGGGGUCGGCCAUCGUGCACAGGUGAGAACCCA
rnacentral:lncRNA from 1 species